GUGCCAAGUGUGUGUGUGUGUGUGUGUGUGUGUGUGUGUGUGUGUGUGUGUGUGUGUGUGUGUGUGUGUGUGUGUGUGUGUGUGUGUGUGUGUGUGUGCAAGUGUUGAUUGUACACAUAUAUGUACAGCCUAAGAGAUUACAAUAACAAAUCUGCUCAACUCUGAAGGUAAAACUUGUGAAGAAAUCAGCACAAGAAUAUAUGGACCGAAAGUGGGACGACAUUCUU